rnacentral:lncRNA from 1 species
UGUAAAUAUGCUAGCAUUUAGUUUACUGUUGUCAAUACUAUUAAUGUGCUACUACUCAAACACCAUUAAUUUGACAUUACAGAAGUUCAGUAUGGUAAUUGCACUCAUGUACUACUGAAAGUGAAACACCAUUAAAGGUACACAUUGCCCUAGCUGGUUCUGCCUAGAUGUUCAUUGUCAAUCAACAUUUGUACAUGUGUGACAUGCAUCUGACAUGAUUCAGCUUAGCUACCGUACACAGAUUUCCCGAUCCAAAAGAGAGACGAAAAAUCGAUAGAGCACGACUGACCGAACUUGCUGCUCCCGGCUAAUCAACUAACUUCCGGUGGUUCUCUCCAUGCUGUUGGCCCUGGC